rnacentral:rRNA from 1 species
UACGUAGGGGGCGAGCGUUGUCCGGAUUUAUUGGGCGUAAAGAGCGUGUAGGCGGCCAGGUAGGUCUGCUGUGAAAACUCGAGGCUCAACCUCGAGACGUCGGCGGAAACCAUCUGGCUAGAGUCCGGAAGAGGAGAGUGGAAUUCCUGGUGUAGCAGUGAAAUGCGUAGAGAUGCGGAGGAACACCGAUGGCGAAGGCAGCCCCCUGGGCUGACACUGACGCUCAGGCACGAAAGCGUGGGGAGCAAACAGG